AUUAAUUAUUCUCUCUCUUCAUUUGCUUCCUCCGUGUUCUAUACGCGUUGUCUAUGGCUUGGUUAUUCUCAUUAUUCUUUGGAACCGUUUUCCCAAAUCCUCUGAAUAUUCUCCCAAAAUUCUCUCAAACUCCCUCCCAAAAUUUCCCAAAUUUCCCAAUCUCUUCUGAUAUUUCAUGGGUUCGUUCUAAUAUUUGUGAUUCAAGUUUCCAAUCUCCUCAUGGCAAAUCUCUUUUUUCUAUAUUCUACACAAUUCCUAAAUCAUUUGUCCUGAUAUUUGAUGCUCUGUCCAACCUUACUCUCUCACUAGAAGCACCGCGUUUUCAUCUAAGGAUUCAAAACGACUAUGGUUCCAGACUACAUUACAGGGAAGAGUGCAAACAUCUCUCACAUGAUAUGUAGGAAAUGUUUCAGUUGAGGAAAGUGUUGAUUCUGGAUGGUUGGUGGCUUUCCCUUCUUCCUAACCAAUAAAUUACAGGGACAUUUUUUUUGCAGAGAGAAGGGAUAUCAAUUUUUAAAAAGUUUGGAAAAUUGUGAUUAGAAGAAAUAAAUUGUGAACCAACUUCACAAGGUGCAAUGGAAAAGAAAUCUAAAAUUGAUAUGUUUAGUACAAUAUGUAUGAUCUCUACGCUCAACCUGAAAUGAUAAGAUUUCUUGAAAGUGUUA